UUGCUUCAGCAGCACAUGUCCUAAUAUUGGAACAAUACAGAGAUUAACAUGGCCCCUGCAUGAGGAUAACGUGUAAAUCUGUGAAGAGGUGGUCCAUUUUAUU